GGAGGAAAAGAAACUAACUAGGAUUCCCUCAGUAGCUGCGAGCGAACAGGGAUAAGCCCAGCACCGAAUCCCGCGGCCGACAACGGACGCCGGGAAAUGUGGUGUUCGGGAGGGUCCAUCAUCCCGAGGUCGUGCGGUGCGUCCAAGUCCUUCUUGAACGGGGCCACAGCCCAUAGAGGGUGCCAGGCCCGUAGCGACCGCCGCCGAUCGCGGGAGGAUCUCUCCUCAGAGUCGGGUUGCUUGAGAGUGCAGCCCUAAGCGGGUGGUAAACUCCAUCUAAGGCUAAAUAUGACCACGAGACCGAUAGCGAACAAGUACCGUGAGGGAAAGUUGAAAAGCACUUUGAAGAGAGAGUUCAAGAGUACGUGAAACCGUUUAGGGGUAAACCUGAGAAACCCGAAAGGUCGAAGGGAGAAAUUCAUUCGCGUUUCGUCGCAGGCAUCGGACGGAGUCGAGCGACGGAGAGCGCUUUACGCGUUUUUCGCGCCCUCCGUUCGACGAACCGGUGACGAACGCGUGCACUUUUCUCCUGGUAGGACGUCGCGAUCCGUUGGGCGUCGGUUUACGGCUCGCGGUGGAGCCCGUCAGUAAACGUUUACCCGUUUACGGGCGGACCCGCGUGUCCCGGCUGACUCGCUCGACGGUAUAAAGAUGGUUUGAGGCCGCUCUAGGAGCGUUCGGCUCGCGGCAAGCGCGCCAGAUGCGUCGGCGAUCGGACCUCGUGCCGAUUCUGACCUCUGGUGACUGUUGGCCGCGAAGUUCUCGAACAGACCUUCACGCUUCCCAGCACAAAAACCGAUCUGCGACGCUAUAGCUUUGGGUACUUUCAGGACCCGUCUUGAAACACGGACCAAGGAGUCUAGCAUGUGCGCGAGUCAUUGGGAAACUCUAAACCUAAAGGCGCAAUGAAAGUAAAGGUUCUCCUCGCGAGGACCGAGGGAGGACGAGCGGUUUUCACCCUUAAAAGUGGGGCCGCCCCGCACUCCCGGGGCGUCUCGUUCUCAUCGCGAGAAGAGGCGCACCAAGAGCGUACACGCUGGGACCCGAAAGAUGGUGAACUAUGCCUGGUCAGGACGAAGUCAGGGGAAACCCUGAUGGAGGUCCGUAGCGAUUCUGACGUGCAAAUCGAUCGUCGGAACUGGGUAUAGGGGCGAAAGACUAAUCGAACCAUCUAGUAGCUGGUUCCCUCCGAAGUUUCCCUCAGGAUAGCUGGCGCUCGUCGCGCACGAGUCUCAUCCGGUAAAGCGAAUGAUUAGAGGCAUUGGGGUCGAAACGACCUCAACCUAUUCUCAAACUUUAAAUGGGUGAGAUCUCCGGCUUGCUCGAACACGUUUAUCGUGAAGCCGCGAGACACGGAUCAGAGUGCC
rnacentral:rRNA from 1 species